rnacentral:tRNA from 1 species
GUUUUAAUAGUUUAAAAAAAACGCCGGUCUUGUAAACCGAAAAUAAGAACGAGCCCCCCUUUUAAAACC